AGAGGAGACUUUCUGUUCUCUGUUUGGUUAUUGUUCCAGUUCUUGCUGCUCUAACAGCAGCAUUUUGUCCUGUCCUGGGCACAACAGCAGCUUGUUCCAGCUGCCAGCUUCUGUUUAAGCUCCCAGAACCAGCCUCACCAUGCCUCCCUAGAGGUCCCAGCCAGCAGCAGCUGGGCAACGUCUCUGCCCUGGGGGGUCCCUUCUCCAAAAUUCCAUCUCUUGAUACAUCCAGUCCCUUCCCAUUGCUCCCCUAGCACUGGGGGUAAUAGCUGCUUCCUGUUCAUUAUUAUCAGUGUCCCUGGUCCCCUUUUUUUCUGUCAGCCCUUCAUCACCUUUGUAACCAAUUGCCUACGUUAAAUUCCUUCUGUUGAAAGAACUGCCUGGAUACUGCUGGACUUUUGACUCUUGUCAAUGGAAGUGGAUGACAGCAGGGUUACCUGUCUGAAGCAAUGAACGAGAAUUCCUGUUGCUCCACAUCCUUGCCAGCAUUUGGUGUUAUCAGUAUUCUGGAUUUGGGCCAUUCUACUAGGUGUCUCUCUGUGCUCAGCCCUCCCUCUGGGGAGGCUGAGUUGUCACUUCCCCAUCAGAGGAAGACAAUCUGUCUCUGACCAGUGUCCUGGCUAAGAUGGGGCCCCGGUGGAGGUGUGUGAGCAGAUGACUCAGAGACUCUUCUUCAUAUUAAAAUAUUCCAGUAAUUAUGUCAGGGCCGAUCCGGCUCACGCAUGGCACUUUACAAAAGAUACACAAAUCGUGGCCCAGUAGGCUCUGGGCCAGAACACACGCAAGGCACCGGCGUGCUCCACAGCACCGCGGGCGGAUCAGAGCAUCUCCAGCCUGUCAAAGACCCACUCCUCUGUAUCUCUCCACGGGAGACAAGCCAUUUGCCGGAGCCACAUAAUGGAGCAUUCAGCCUUUGAAUUGCCACUUCUCUGAAGACUCUACAGGGCUAUGAGGGUGACUGCCUCAGGCCGGGAGGAAGGGAGGAAGGUAGGAAGGAGGUUUUGAGCCUUUAUCUGACUAGAAAGAGGCUGCUAUAGGCCCACAAAAUCAAGGUCUCACCCCCUCACCCCUGAGAGGCAGCCAGGCGUCCUGGGCAAGAGUGAUGCUGUCUCCACACCGCAGGGGCAGCAAGCAAGGCUGUAGACAGGGCUGUUCCAAUGUGUGACCCCAAGAAGACACCUGCCAAGGAGAAGGAGGCAGUGCGGGCCCCUGAGAAGGAGCUGCCCAGCCUGCGUGUGUGUGCUGGGGGCCGAGGCUGUUGGUUUCAGUGCAUUAAAUCAUGGACUGCUCUCCACUGCGUUACUAUUCC
rnacentral:lncRNA from 1 species